GAUGAACGCUGGCGGCGUGCUUAAUACAUGCAAGUCGAACGGAAAGGCCCUGCUCUUGCUGGUCUCUCGUGUGGCGAACGGGUGAGUAACACGUGAGUAUCCUGCCCUUGACUUUGUGAUAACUUUAGGAAACUGGGGCUAAUACCGGAUAUGAGCUCCUGCAGCAUGGUGGUGGUUGGAAAGUUUCGGCGGUUGGGGAUGGACUCGCGGCUUAUCAGCUUGUUGGUGGGGUAGUGGCUUACCAAGGGUUUGACGGGUAGGCGGCCUGGGAGAGUAGCCGGCGACAAUGCGACUAAGGUAGGGCGCAGAAUCGUACCGGAGGCAGCGGUGGGAAGUAUGGCGCAAUGGGCGGGAGCCAGAUGCAGCGGCGCCCGGUGCGGAAUAACGGGCUUCGAGUUGAGAACCACUUUCUCCUGAAACGAGGCGUGAGUGACGGUAAUGAGUAAGGAAGCACCGGCUAACUACGUG
rnacentral:rRNA from 1 species